CCUUAACCUACUGAGCCAUCCAGGUGCCCCCCCCCCUACUCAUCUUUAAAGAGAGUUCUGCUUUUGCAGGGUUUUAGAGUGUGAGAAGCUCUGAAUGUUUGUAAAAUAUUGAUGGGCAGAAGAGAAGAGAAAGAGGAUCUGAACAAGUUCAGAAGAAUACCAUCCUGAAAUAAAUAAUAUUCCCUGCCUAGACUGGCUUGAGACAAGAGUCUUAUGGAACAAACAAAAGAUGAGAAAUAUCUAGAAGAGUUUCUGGAUCUUAUUUACAUAGGCAAGUCACAAGACUCUCAGUGAGAAGGAAACAGAAUUUUAAACAAAAUCCCUUCUCCCUCUCUAAAUAUUAUGCAAAUGGUUAUAUGUACUGGCUAGUAUUAAUGAUGUGAUAAAAUGUAUAGUGUUGUCAUUUCAUAAUGUGAACUCAUUCAUUCUCUAUUAACUAUUCCCUGCUUUCAUAAAAUCUAUUAACUCUG